UACGAGGGGGGCGAGCGUUGUUCGGAAUUAUUGGGCGUAAAGGGUGCGUAGGCGGUUUGAUAAGUCUUAUGUGAAAUCUACAGGCUCAACUUGUAGUCUGCAUGAGAAACUGCCGGGCUUGAGUAUGGGAGAGGUGAGUGGAAUUCCUGGUGUAGCGGUGAAAAUGCGUAGAUAUCAGGAGGAACACCUGUGGCGAAAAGCGGCUCACUGGACCAUAACUGACGCUGAUGCACGAAAGCUAGGGGAGCAAACAGG
rnacentral:rRNA from 1 species